ensembl:lncRNA
UGAUGACCAAAUACACUACAGGACAUUUUAGAAUAAUUAAGAUUAUAUAAUGUUUGUGAAAGAAGUAUCUUCUGCUCCCCAAGGCUGCAUUUAUAUGGUCAAAAAUACAGAAAAAUUGUGAAAUGUUAUUACAGUUUAAAAUAGCUGUUUUCUGUGUGAAUCUCUGUUAAAGUGUAAUUUAUUUCUGUGAUGCGAAGCUGUAUUUUCAGCAUCAUUACUCCAGUCUUCAGUGUCACAUGAUCUUCAGAAAUCAUAAUAAUAUACUGAUUUACUGCUCAAGAAACAUUUCUGAUUAUUAUCAAUGUUGAAAUCAGUUUUUGCCUUCCAUAGGCCAUAUUUCAAGCAUUUAAUCAAUCAGAAGGUCAGUUUCUCUCUUACACUCACUAUCUGCUGUUGUUUGGAGUAUCAAAAGUGUUUUCCUCAAGAAUGCGCUCAGAGUUCAUCAUCAGAGAGAAACUAGUGACUCAUAUAAAGUAUUCCUGCAUCUCACAGCAAAUCACAUUGUUCCAGUGUACUAUUGACCUAUCAGUAAGCCCCGUCCCCCUUAGAUACUGUUGCUCACUUGUGACACAAAAUAUGGAGUUGCUCACUGUCUUACAAUGACAGCUGUCAGUGAAAACCUUCUUCCAAGGUGUUUCUGAUCAAUUUGGGACACAGUUGGACCUUCAAGUGGGACUUGAAUAUACCAUGGAGGGAUAUAUAAAAGAUAUUAAAAUAAAUAUGUAAAAAUACAGAUCACAAUGCAAAUGGGAAGAUUAUAUUACUUCAUAUUAAUCAUCACGAUCGCAAUGGCAACAUCCCGGAUCAACACCGUUCAUAUACUGCAGGAGUCUGUAAACGGCGUUAACAGAGGCCAGAGACACAGAGGAGAAUGCAGUUUCUGUGUGAAUGAUCAGUGGUGGAACUGCCUGCGAUCGUGGACGGACUUACCAUUGGGCUUGAGUGGGCUGCAACCCAUGGGCCCCGCCUUGUAGAGGGCCCCACCUUUGCCCAUUUAUGUUUGUUUGAUUUGUUCAUUAUAUGCCAGUCAGAAUUCAGAAAUGAUUAGCCGCAUUUCCAAUGUGCAUGCAAGAUCUAAAUGGGCCAGCUUACAACUACGACCUUCAAGGCCACAAUCAAACAGCAUAAACUGGUAUUUAUGAUUAUUUCACAUAGAAGGACACACAUAUUGAAUCGUGUCUGCACCGAUUGGUUUGUUAUCACAUGGCUACUUUAAACAGCUCCAUUAAGCCUUUAGCCCCAAAGAGCGCACAUUUAGAAAGAUAAUGAUAAAUUCUGAAAUGUUCACACAUCAUUUCUUUACAGAGGAUGAUUCUAUAUUACUAUAUUAAUGUUCCACUAAAUUAUGCGAUCAUCUGAUGAGUUUUGAGUAAUCUCUCGUCUUACUGCCAUUACACAUAGUUGGGAAGAAAUGUCAUCAAAAAGAUUAUAAAUUUAAAAAAAACAAUUUAAUAAGUUUCUAUUUUUAUAACAUAGCUAUGCCUAUGAUAUAGGACUUAGCCUAUCACACAAACAAGAGUCGUGUUUUUUUUUUUUUUUUUCGAAUAUCUGAACGAUCGCAAAUGUACAAUACACAACACAAAAUUCCAUUUUGCUCUGUCAGAAAGAAAACAAAACAAACAGCAGAACUGCUGUGUCACCGGACAGCAGUGUUUUGUUCCUCAGCGUUACAUGGACAGUAAAUGAUUCAAUCAGGCUAUAAGUACAGUAGUUAAAAAAGUUAAAGAAUCAGCUUUUUAAAGGAAUCGGUUGAUUCAGCUCACUCAUUAAGACAGUCACUUGCUGCCACCUACUGGCGGUUGCAGUUUCAUAUUUAAAAAAAGUAGCUUAUUUCAUUUUUGCAAUCAUUUAAUAUUUCUGCAUUCAAAUGUUAUAUUAAAACUUAACAUUUAUAC